UUGAAAGGGAAACGAUUGAAGUCAGUCAUGCCAGUGGGAAUCAACUUAGGGGAAACUCUGGGUGCACUUCUUCGCUUGGCAGGUCAACGUCGAUUUUGAAUGUCAUAAAAUAAUUGGGGGAAGGUAGCUUCUUCGGGAGUGUUAUAGCCCUUGAUAGAUGUGAUGUUUGGGGGUCGAGGAUUGCAACGGAUAUCUUCGGGGCUAGCCGCCUGAUCUCUAAUUGGUGUUGGGUUACGGAUAGCAUGCUGACCGUGAUCUAAUUACUGGUUAAAAGGUUAGAGUGUGCAUAAAUUCGUUAAGGAUGUUGACGUA
rnacentral:rRNA from 1 species